GUAGGGGGCAGGUGUGUGUGUGAGAGGGUCAGAGGACAAGCUAGAGGACACGCCCAUGAAGGUCUCUGCAGCAUGCCAGUACAUAGCCUCACCUAACUGAGCCACGCCCUCAGACCCUGUCCCUUAAGUAUGAUUAAUUCCUACUUGGCCUUUAGCUAAUUACUUCUGGGACAGCCACCCUAAGAUACUUCCCCUAACUGCACACAUUACGGUUUACCUAUCUGACUAGCACUAUUUAACUUUUGAUAUUGUUUAAUAAUAGAUGAAAAACUAUCUCACUCAUUAGGCAGCUAAUUCCUCCAGGACAUAGCUUCUAGGUCUCUGCCCCAAUUUAAU
rnacentral:lncRNA from 1 species